CCUANGGGGGGCAGCAAUUAGGAAUCUUGCGCAAUGGGCGAAAGCCUGACGCAGCGACGCCGCGUGACUGAUGAAGUCUUUCGGGAUGUAAAACUCUGUCCUAUGGGGAAGAAGAAUGUGACGGUACCCAUAGAGAAAGCCCCGGCUAACUACGUGCCAGCAGCCGCGGUAAUACGUAGGGGGCGAGCGUUGUCCGAAUUUACUGGGCGUAAAGCGCGUGUAGGCGGCUCUUUAAGUCAGGUGUGAAAUCCUGCGGCUCAACCGCAGAACUGCAUCUGAAACUGGAGAACUUGAGUUUGGGAGAGGAGAGUGGAAUUCCUGGUGUAGCGGUGAAAUGCGUAGAUAUCAGGAGGAACACACGUGGCGAAGGCGGCUCUCUGGCCCAAUACUGACGCUGAGACGCGAAAGCUAGGGGAGCGAACGGGAUUAGAUACCCUANUANUC
rnacentral:rRNA from 1 species